rnacentral:miRNA from 10 species
CACUUAGUGUAUUUGACAAGCUGAGCUGGACACUAAAAGACAGAGUGUCAGUUUGUCAAAUACCCCAAGUGAGACGUCACUAGUCU